rnacentral:rRNA from 1 species
CUCGUAGGCGGUUCAGUAAGUUGGGUGUGAAAGCUCCGGGCUCAACCCGGAGAGGCCACUCAAUACUGCUGUGACUAGAGUCCAGUAGAGGAGCGUGGAACUCCUGGUGUAGCGGUGAAAUGCGCAGAUAUCAGGAAGAACACCGGCAGCGAAGGCGGCGCUCUGGGCUGGUACUGACGCUGAGGAGCGAAAGCAUGGGUAGCAAACA